rnacentral:rRNA from 1 species
CAGGACGAACGCUGGCGGCGUGCUAACACAUGCAAGUCGAACGAGGUUAUAGGAGAGCUUGCUCGAAUAUAACCGAGUGGCGGACGGGUGAGUAACGCGUGAAUAAUCUGUCCCAUACAGGGGGAUAACGCAUCGAAAGAUGUGCUAAUACCGCGUAGGACCACGGAGUCGCAUGGCUCUGAGGUGAAAGGAGCAAUCCAGUAUGGGGUGAGUUCGCGUCUGAUUAGAUAGUUGGUGUGGUAACGGCCCACCAAGUCAACGAUCAGUAGCCGACCUGAGAGGGUGAUCGGCCACAUUGGGACUGAGACACGGCCCAGACUCCUACGGGAGGCAGCAGUGGGGAAUAUUGGGCAAUGGGCGAAAGCCUGACCCAGCAACGCCGCGCGAAGGAAGAAGGUUUUCGGAUUGUAAACUUCUGUCCUAUGUGAAGAGGAGUAGACGGUAGCAUAGGAGGAAGCCCCGGCUAACUACGUGCCAGCCGCGGC